UAGUCCUUUUUUAUUGUGCAAAAAUGGAAGUAGAAGAAGCAUUAUUGAAGUUGGAGUCCAUUGCGUGCAUAGACUCCACCACUCUCUCACUUUGAGCUCCUCGCUCUUUCUCUCUCAUCUCUACACAUUCGACCUCUGCUCCACCCAUGACCUCGUCACUCCAAACGGCGUCGUCGUGGAUCUCCACCAAAUCGCCAACUCCUAAGACCCCUAAGCUGAUGAACUCAAGAGACCCAUCAAGGGUUUUCACAACGAAGAGCGGAGGAUUGUCGAUGCAUGGAUCUAUUGCCGCAGAUACAUUAGAAACAUUCUCCAUUUAGCACAAAAACGAACAGUGUGAUUCUUCUUGCCGUAGAUCUAUUCCAUUUUGCCAUUCAUCCAUGGCCGACGAAUUCAAAUUCGCCGACAAAGUCCCUCCUUCCUUCGAUCACGUGGCUACAUUAAUUUUGGAUUGCCAUUUCAAGAGCAUCAUAUUCAAACUGGUUGUGGUAUUAUGUCUAUCAUAGUCUAUGACGAUCCUGACAAACUAGCUCUGAUCACUUAUCCAGAUUUGGCUCUAAAUUAUAUAUCAUGUUUUCAAGGACUAUUUUAUGUCCAGAAGCAGCUUCUUUACUGCUUCACAACUUUUGCAUAUAUCAUAUCAGUCCUCCUGGACAUGAGUUUUCCCUCUGAAACUUCCACAAGAGUUCUUGAAGUUGGGAGCAACUGCAAAUUGUGCCGAGGAUCCUAUUCCUUCUGCUGAAGAUUUAGCAGAUCAAAUAAUUGAGGUCCUCAACUAUUUUGGCUGCUGGAUGAGAGAAAAAGAACAAAUGUCUUGCGGUUUCUUGAAGCAAUUAAUCAUUGAACCUGAAUGGGUCUGGAGCUGGAGUUUCAACUCCCAGUUCAACCUUCUUUGGGAGCAGCUUGAAGAAGGUUAUUGCCUCAAGGGUCCCCAACACCAAGAUCCCCUAUGAGUACAUUAGCACUGGACUUCGCCAGUCGUUGAUUGUUCUUAGCGCUAUCUUGGUCAUUAAUUUUUUGACACAAAAGACGAAGCUCUACAGGAUUCAUGAUGGGUGAACAUUAACCUCAUUUACCUCAAUGUGUUCUAGGUCAUUGAUUGUCAUCGGUGCUAUCUCGGCUACUAAUUUUUUGCCACAAAAGAUGAAGCUCUGUAGGAUUCCUAAUAGAUGAACAGUAAUAUCGUUUAUGUCAAUGCGUUCCAGGAUGUUGAUUAUUGUCGGUGUUAUCUUAACCACUACUUUUCUACCACAAAAGACAAAGCUCUACAAGAUUCCUGUUGUGUGAAUAGUAACCUUGUUUACCUCAAUGUGUUUUGGGUCAUUGAUUUUUGUCGAUGCUAUCUCAACUACUACUUUUCUAGCACAAAAGAUGAAGCUCUACAAGAUUCCUAACAUGUGAAUAGUAACCUCGUUUACCUUAAUGUGUUAUGGGUCAUUGAUUGUCAAUAGUGCUAUCUCGACCACUACUUUUUUGGCACAAAAGAUGAAGCUCUACAAGAUUCUUAAUGGGUGAAUAGUAACCUUGUUUAUGUCAAUGCAUCAUGGGCCAUUGAUUUUCAUCGGUGGUAUCUAAACCACUACUUUUCUAGCACACAAGACGAAGCUCAGCAAGAUUUUUGACUGGUGAAUAGUAACCUCAUUUACAUCAAUGCAUUAUGGGCCAUUGAUUAUCAUCGGUAUUAUCUUGACUACUACUUUUAUAGUUCAAAAGUCAAAGCUUUUCAUGUUUAUUUGUGAAUUGUUGAUGGGUUGAUUGAUUCAUGAUGUGUUGUGCAACUGAUUUGUAUAUAUUUAUUAAUAAAAACUAAAAUAAGAAACACAUACAUUAAUACAUUUCCUACAAGCAAAAUACAUACAUUAUUAUUAUAGUAAACAAACAUUGAAAUUACAAACACAACCUUGAAAUCAAAAUAACAUAAAAAUAAACGUUUCAAUAAAGAUACAUCGUAAUCUCUACAUAUUGUCAUUCAAGUUUCAUUGUUUUGUCAAGCAACUUUUCCAUAACAUCCCAAAAACUGCACUGGGACUGUGGUUUUAUUUCAGUGCACAACUCAACACACGUAAGGUUAAGAUUUUUUGCGAAUAUAGAAAACAUUGUAUGUAUGUGCUCAUCAUCUUCAUGUUUCCACACACUAUAUUCAAUAUUUCCAUCAACAUUGGAUAUAGGCCAUCGAUAAUAGAUGCCACUGACUUCUUUUUCGUGGAAACAUGGUGUAAUCUUAGUUUGAAUGGCUUUCAUAGGGCCUCAAGUGUCAUGUCUUGAUGAAGGCAAACUAACCUUAUGUCAUUGCUGACAAACUAUGUAGAUCUGUACUCAGUUGUAAUCGUUUGGCCACUGUAAUAUACAAAAGCCCAAACAACAAAUGAACUCAUUUAAAUAAAGAAGACUUGAUGCAACACUUAGUGAAUUUAUGUUAGGAAUAUGGACUAUAGGCUAAUGAUAUUGUGUGAACGAUAAUACCUACGCCAGCUUUAUUUAUAGGCCCAAAUCCUUCAAAAAAGCUUUCAUUCAGUGAGGCAGAAAAAUUAACAAAGGGUUGUCAUUGCUAACGACAAAAUAAAUGGCUAAGAUAAAACCAAAUCUUAUAAUCAUUUGCCACUUGUACCAAUAAAAGUGGUGGUCAAGAUUGCACCGACAAAAUAGAUGAUGCAAACUGCAUUGAUUUUGAUGCAUGCACUAUACUAAUGUCAAAUGCAAAACUGUUGUUUUUUUUGAAAUUUUAUAUUUGAUAUUAAUUAACCACAUGAUACUGACAACAUUUUUCAACAAACUAAAUAUGGAAAAUUAAAAUCAAUCCCCAUAGUGGUGUUCAAUUCCACAUGGUCGACAUAUCUUGUUACAUGGAGGAUUUUGGCAGGGUUGGGGUUGUUGUUGUAGUCGUGUCGCAUUUUUUCCAUUGUCAAGAAUUUAUUGAUGUUGUUCAUCCACAUCUUGACAGAUAUGUAAAUUAAACAACGACAGAGUAAAACUACCAAGUGUCACACCCAAUGAAGAAUUACUAGCAUCAUUAUAAUGAUAUAAUGGGUAUUCAGCUGAGUACAUACUUUGCAUGUAUGCAUGAGCUUACAUUGGCAUUCCAAGGUUUGCACCAAACAAAUUGUUGACAAAUUCUUCAAGAGGCGAUGCAAAUGAGUGUGGAAAAUUGUCAAUAUUUGAAUAUAGUUGUUAUUGAGAUACAAAGAAUGCAAAUGAAUAACGAGUUGAAUUCCUAUCUUCAUUGAACACGAUUCUAGAAUUUAAGGUGUUGGGAUGCAUAGGUGUUCUUCUCCUUUGUGCACAUUGUUGUGGUUUCAUUUGAUGUGUUUCAACACUUGUGUUACUAACCCCUAUAUCAACUGUAACCUGUGGGCCUUGCAUAUUCAGGAAAGGUAUCAAAUUUGCUAAAUACCAUUCUAUAUAUUCAUGGGUUUGCGAGGGAAUACCAUGAAAAGGUUGUCCCACUAUUCCCAUUUGGUCUCAUUCAUUCCAAAAUUCAAUCCACCUUGCAUGCUUUUCUCCCUAAUUUUCUCCAGUAUGUCCUUGCAUGUCGAUCUAUAAUAGUUUAUCAAGAUUUCUAGGUUUCCUUGGAACCUCUUGGCGUAGUCCAAACUGGAGCUUUACCUUGUUUGCUUGCUACCUAACAAAUCAGAGUAGUGCAUGUAGUCCAUAUAUUUGAAUCCACAAAUGCUUGUGGUGGAAAAAUUUGCUGACAAGCAUUGUAUGGCAUCCAAAAGAAAUAAAAAUUUAAGCAUGAUUAUUACAUUUACAAUAAAAGAAACAAAAAUAACAUUUCCUGUAAAUGAAUGAAGUAUUUUGUAACUUGCUCCUGUUUCAUAUUAUCCAAUCUGGAUCUAUAUUCUAUAAGAUCACCAUAAGGUGUUCCCAUAUGUUGUAGCCUGCCACAACUACAUCUAAUAAGUAGCGGAUACGUGGGUUGACAACUAAGUCUUGGUGCAAUGAAGGGCAUGCGAUACCAUGUCUAACUUUGCAACAAUGAAAAACACCUCACUAUGAUUUUUGUCUCCAAGUAAGUAGCCUUGCACAUUUCUUUGUAAAGAGUUGCUAAACAAGUUGAACCCUAACUAUAUGUACAAACACGAUCAAUAUCUCGCAACAACAUUAAAUACAUAAGGUGAACUUUGUUGCCUAUUUUAUCUGGCAUCAGUACUCCCCAAUCAACCUUAGGAUGUAAGCCUUACAAUGAGUUUCUAACUGUUGUUGUGUUGGUUCUUCGGGCAGAGGCAUCAUAUUUUGGUGCAACCAUUUAAGUUUAAGUGUCAAUCCUACUAUUGUGUCCCCUUUAGGCAGAACAACACCCCAAAUAUGUUAUGCACAUUUCAUUCGAGUCAUAAUAGGUUGGGCCAACUACUAGUUUUUCAUCAACUCAUAGUCCUAGUUGGAGUGUCACAUCUUGCACUAUUAUUAUGUAUUCACCAAUUGGAAGAUGGAAUGUGUGUGACUCGGGUCUCCACUUUUCUACCAAUGCAGUAACCAAAAGAU